rnacentral:lncRNA from 1 species
AUUAUUCCUACUACGAACCCGUCUAUGCAUAUUCCAAGUUUACAUUCGUCUUCUAGCACAAAUAAUCAGUACCACAAAUUACCAAAGUUGAACUUGCCUACUUUUAAAGGGAAUAUUCUAGAUUGGCAAUCCUUUUGGGAUUCAUAUGAGACAUCUAUUCACACAAAUCCAACACUCAGCGACGUACAGAAGUUUAACUACUUAAAGUCACUUCUACAGGGAGAAGCGUUUCAGACCAUAUCAGGUUUUGCUAUGACAAACACUAACUACGGCAAAGCUAUUUCGUUGUUACAAGAGAGGUAUGGACAGAUACAUACUAUAAUACAAACAUACAUGCAAGCUCUACUUGAGAUUUCGCCGCCAAUUUAUACUUUAGUAAGCCUCCGCAAUUAUUAUGACAAAACUGAAACUUACGUACGAGGUCUAGAGUCACUCGGACAGACUACAGACACUUAUGGUUCACUACUUGUACCGGUUAUUCUGAACAAGUUGCCCGCAGAAAUACGCCAAAACCUAGCAAGACAACACGGACCGUCAAGUUGGAAUUUGAAAGAUUUGAGGAAGAGUAUACUUAACGAAAUUCAGAUCAUGGAGGCGGGAAAAAAUACAGGUACAUAUCUCGAGUCUUCAGAAAGUCACUUCACAACCGCAUCUACAUGUACAUUUCAUACAGGAAUAGAAUCACCGCGAAUACACACAGCACACAAC